AAAAUGGAGGCUAAACAGUAAACAUGACAGAAGACCGAAGUAAACACAUUCUCUGAGAAAAUCAAAAAAAUAUAAUUCGCACUAAAAACAUAAAAAAUGGGAUCUAGAUGAAAACAGGGACCGGAGAAGAGUAAUGUUGCAAUCUAAUGGACAUCAUACCCUCACUUAUAAUUUCUGGGCUAACCCCCUCAGCCCUCAUCGCUACAGGCAUUUGGUUCUUUCCCUUUCUCAUCGCUUCUUUAUCCUACUAUCAAUAUAAUAAGAUUGAUCCUGAACAGAAACCACACAACGCAGAGAAUCUUUUCAAAUAUUAUGAUUUUAUUAUCAUCGGUAAGUUUUUUUU